CGGGGUAUAGCCCAGGCCGGUAGCGCGCGUCGUUCGGGACGACGAGGCCGGAGGUUCGAAUCCUGCUACCCCGA
rnacentral:tRNA from 1 species